rnacentral:rRNA from 1 species
GAGUUUGAUCCUGGCUCAGAGUGAACGCUGGCGGCGUGCCUAAUACAUGCAAGUCGAACGAUGAAGCUUCUAGCUUGCUAGAGUGCUGAUUAGUGGCGCACGGGUGAGUAACGCAUAGGUCAUGUGCCUCUUAGUUUGGGAUAGCCAUUGGAAACGAUGAUUAAUACCAGAUACUCCCUACGGGGGAAAGAUUUAUCGCUAAGAGAUCAGCCUAUGUCCUAUCAGCUUGUUGGUAAGGUAAUGGCUUACCAAGGCUAUGACGGGUAUCCGGCCUGAGAGGGUGAACGGACACACUGGAACUGAGACACGGUCCAGACUCCUACGGGAGGCAGCAGUAGGGAAUAUUGCUCAAUGGGGGAAACCCUGAAGCAGCAACGCCGCGUGGAGGAUGAAGGUUUUAGGAUUGUAAACUCCUUUUGUUAGAGAAGAUAAUGACGGUAUCUAACGAAUAAGCACCGGCUAACUCCGUGCCAGCAGCCGCGGUAAUACGGAGGGUGCAAGCGUUACUCGGAAUCACUGGGCGUAAAGAGCGCGUAGGCGGGAUAGUCAGUCAGGUGUGAAAUCCUAUGGCUUAACCAUAGAACUGCAUUUGAAACUACUAUUCUAGAGUGUGGGAGAGGUAGGUGGAAUUCUUGGUGUAGGGGUAAAAUCCGUAGAGAUCAAGAGGAAUACUCAUUGCGAAGGCGACCUGCUAGAACAUUACUGACGCUGAUUGCGCGAAAGCGUGGGGAGCAAACAGGAUUAGAUACCCUGGUAGUCCACGCCCUAAACGAUGGAUGCUAGUUGUUGGAGGGCUUAGUCUCUCCAGUAAUGCAGCUAACGCAUUAAGCAUCCCGCCUGGGGAGUACGGUCGCAAGAUUAAAACUCAAAGGAAUAGACGGGGACCCGCACAAGCGGUGGAGCAUGUGGUUUAAUUCGAAGAUACACGAAGAACCUUACCUAGGCUUGACAUUGAGAGAAUCCGCUAGAAAUAGUGGAGUGUCUAGCUUGCUAGACCUUGAAAACAGGUGCUGCACGGCUGUCGUCAGCUCGUGUCGUGAGAUGUUGGGUUAAGUCCCGCAACGAGCGCAACCCCCUUUCUUAGUUGCUAACAGGUCAUGCUGAGAACUCUAAGGAUACUGCCUCCGUAAGGAGGAGGAAGGUGGGGACGACGUCAAGUCAUCAUGGCCCUUACGCCUAGGGCUACACACGUGCUACAAUGGGGUGCACAAAGAGAAGCAAUACUGCGAAGUGGAGCCAAUCUUCAAAACACCUCUCAGUUCGGAUUGUAGGCUGCAACUCGCCUGCAUGAAGCUGGAAUCGCUAGUAAUCGCAAAUCAGCCAUGUUGCGGUGAAUACGUUCCCGGGUCUUGUACUCACCGCCCGUCACACCAUGGGAGUUGUGUUUGCCUUAAGUCAGGAUGCUAAAUUGGCUACUGCCCACGGCACACACAGCGACUGGGGUGAAGUCGUAACAAGGUAACCGUAGGUGAACCUGCGGUUGGAUCACC